CCUGGAGGGGGCUGGAGGCAAGAGAGAUGGCGCUCGGGACGGAAGGGUUCCCUGCCCUGCCCCAGGAGCCUGCAUGGGAGAAGGCGUGAGGAGGUGAAGGAAGCUUAUGGUACCUGCACACCGACAGGCUGGAGCGCGAGAGCAACCCUGUGGCCUGUCCUGGUCUCUGACUCACCCUGAAGAAUGAGAAACCUGUUUAAAGUGAAGUGUGAUGGAAUCAAGUCAGACGUGAGGAAGGACCUACCUCCUUGGUCAAAGCUGGGAUGGGGAUCUUGCUCUGUUGCCCAGGCUGGAGGGCAGUGGUGGAGUCAUAGCUCAUCAAAAGCUCAACCUUCCAGGCUCAAGUGAUGCUUCCGUCUCAGCCUUCUGAGUAGCUGGGACAACAGGCUGGAGUGCAAUGGCGC
rnacentral:lncRNA from 1 species